rnacentral:tRNA from 1 species
GGUUUGGUGGUCUAGUGGUAUGAUUCUCGCUUAGGGCAAACCCUACAGUUGAUUUGCGAGAGGUCCCGGGUUCAAUCCCCGGCCAAACCC